rnacentral:misc_RNA from 1 species
GAUGAAGAACGUAGCGAAAUGCGAUAAGUAAUGUGAAUUGCAGAAUUCAGUGAAUCAUCGAAUCUUUGAACGCACCUUGCGCCCCUUGGUUAUUCCGAAGGGCAUGCCUAUUUGAGUGUCAUGAACACCUCAACUCUUGUGGUUUCCCACAAUGAGCUUGGACCAUGGAGGUUUUUGUUGGCCCUCUGGUCAGCUCCUCUCAAAUGGAUCAGCUUACCGGUGUUUGGUGGCAUCAUGGGUGUGAUAACUAUCUACGCUUGUGGUCGUCUCCAAAUAACCUCCAGUGAUGGAGGUUCGCUGGAGCUUAUAAACGUCUCUCCCCAGUGAAGACAGCCUUUGAACGUUCGAUCUCAAAUCAGGUAGGACUACCCGCUGAACUUAAGCAUAUCAAUAAGCGGAGGA